GGACGAACGCUGGCGGCGUGCCUAACACAUGCAAGUCGAGCGAGGAGAUCCUCGGGAUGAUCCUAGCGGCGGGCGGGUGAGUAACACGUGGGCAACCUGCCUCAUAGAGAGGAAUAGCCUUCCGAAAGGGAGAUUAAUACCUCAUAACAUUGCAGUUUCGCAUGGAACAGCAAUUAAAGGAGCAAUCCACUAUGAGAUGGGCCCGCGGCGCAUUAGCUAGUUGGUGAGGUAACGGCUCACCAAGGCGACGAUGCGUAGCCGACCUGAGAGGGUGAUCGGCCACAUUGGGACUGAGACACGGCCCAGACUCCUACGGGAGGCAGCAGUGGGGAAUAUUGCACAAUGGGGGAAACCCUGAUGCAGCCAACGCCGCGUGAGUGAUGACGGCCUUCGGGUUGUAAAGCUCUGUCUUCAGGGACGAUAAUGACGGUACCUGAGGAGGAAGCCACGGCUAACUACGUGCCAGCAGCAGC
rnacentral:rRNA from 1 species